rnacentral:rRNA from 1 species
GAUGAACGCUGGCGGCGUGCCUAAUACAUGCAAGUCGAGCGAACAGACGAGGAGCUUGCUCCUCUGACGUUAGCGGCGGACGGGUGAGUAACACGUGGAUAACCUACCUAUAAGACUGGGAUAACUUCGGGAAACCGGAGCUAAUACCGGAUAAUAUAUUGAACCGCAUGGUUCAAUAGUGAAAGACGGUUUUGCUGUCACUUAUAGAUGGAUCCGCGCCGCAUUAGCUAGUUGGUAAGGUAACGGCUUACCAAGGCAACGAUGCGUAGCCGACCUGAGAGGGUGAAUCGCCAACCCGGAACUGAGACACGGUCCAGACCCCUAAGGGAGGCAGCAGUAGGGAAUCUUUCGGCAUGGGCGAAAGCCUGACGGAGCCACGCCGCGUGAGUGAUGAAGGUCUUCGGAUCGUAAAACUCUGUUAUUAGGGAAGAACAAAUGUGUAAGUAACUAUGCACGUCUUGACGGUACCUAAUCAGAAAGCCACGGCUAACUACGUG